GAGUGUUCUGCCUCUCUUAACUACUGAAAUUCAUCUUCUGCCAACUGGAAGUUAUGACACCUUCAGCAUCUUCUAAUAAAAACUGCAGUCUCUGUGUACUGAAAACUCCACUGGCUGUUUCCAUCUUGUGAUCUGAGAACACUUUCUGCUAUCUGUAAAGAACCAAAACUCCAUAUGAGCUUGCAUGGAUUUACAGUCUGCAUUCAAACCACUUAGCAUUUUUUAAGCAGUUAUAAAGGAAUCAUGAAGGUUUUCUACUUUCUGAGCAAAGAUUUCAGCAGUGUUCAAAUGCAAGUUACAAGUUUUUAGGGAUUAACAAGAAAUAAGUGUAUUUAAUGUGUUUGCAUGCAGAUAUGGGGAGGAAUAUUGCUAGAUAGGAAAAUGCAGGUACAUAUUUAUAUUUCCCCUAAAUUUAUUUUAUGAUUUUGUAGCUGUUCUAAUGCUUUCUGAGAGUCCAUUUGGACUCACAGACUGACACUAGAUUUGGUAUAGGACUGGCAUGAAGCAGGGACACAAAAACUAGCCCCUUUCUUUCAUAAACUCAUAUUCUAGCACCUUGGACUGUCAUUUAUUUUCUACAUUUGUGUCGAAUAUGAAGCUUUAUUGAUUCUACUAGAAUUACAGCUAGGAAAGACAAGUCUAAAAAAUACAUGUGAAGUAGGUUUGUGAAACAUUCAAAAUAUAUUGUCCUUACAUGCUUAAUCUUGAAAGAUUAAAACACAUUUGUUUAGUACCCAAAUUUCUUCUGCUAUACUAUUUCUUCAAAAGAUCAUAGUACUUUUGUUGUCAUCUGAAAAUAGUAAGCACUUCAGCUUUUGGCUUGGAAACAAAUGUUUUACAGAACAUGUUGGCUCUAAAUAUUCUCAAACAUAAGAACUGGUAAUCCUGAUAAAAUUAGAAUUGAAAUGUAGGUUUUUAUUAUUUCACUUAAAUGAAUGAAGAAUACAUCAAUGAGUGACAGGUAUUUCCUUGAGAUAAAGACAUGUCCCAGUUUUUGCCAUUAGAAUCUCAUUUUAACUCCCAGUUUUCAUUUAAUGAUGACAACUUGCUCAGUGAGUUAGUGAGCCUAAAUAGUGUGACUUGCACUAAACUGAAUCCCAGAUCAGAUAUGUAUUUAUUUGGGUAAUACUCCAGAAUUAAAGUGGAAGAACGUGCUUUUCCCUGAAUUUCUAACCUACGAAACAGGAACAUGAAUAGAAAAAAAUAAACAUAUAGAAGACUAUGAAAUAUUAUGGCAAAACAGUGAGUUGGUCAAGGAAGGAUCAUGUGACAUUAUCAACACAUAUAACCACAUCUGGCUAUUUGAAUUUUCUACUCAGCCUAAGGAAUCAUAGUUUUCUACUCUGCCUAAGGAAUCACCCAACUUGCAACAAUAGUUUGAAAGCUUUUCCUCAUAUCUAAUCUAAAUUUCCCUGUCUACAAUUUAAGGCCAUACUUUCUUGAACUAUCAGUUGAGUACAUGAAGAACAACUUAUGACCUAGAACUAAAAAGCCUCAAUUCACUCUCACUAGACUUAAUAAGUUUAAGUCCUUCAAGCUUUCCUUAAACCUAUUUAUAACCUAUACGUAUGCCAUAGCUUUUCUCACUGUAUUCUAAAUCUUUUUGGAAAGAUGACACCUUGAACAGUACUUCACAGUCACAUUACUCCAGUUCCUUCUUUACUUGUGAAGAUCAACAUUUUAAGAUUAUUUUGCGUUUUACAAAUAAAGGAUCAUUCUGUAUAU